ACGUAUAAAAGAGAAAACUUUGUCCAUCACCUAUAUAUACAUAUAUAUAUAUUGUUAAUUGUUUUAAAAAUAAGGAAUCCGCGCGUGGUUUCGAUUAAUCGCGUGUCGUGUCUUUCGAAAUAAGCUUUUGUGUAAGCUUUAUCGUGCCGCGAGCGUGCACGUGCAACUCGGACGCGUGGCACGUGGUGUUUGCCGGAGUGGCUCGACUCGAAAACCGCUGAGCAGAGCUUGCAAGCUCUCGUGCUUUCAUUGGCCGAUGGGUGGAAACUGCGCAUGGUUGCGGGUGUGGCCAGAGCUUAAGGGGCGGAAUAAGCUCCUACUGGCGAUAGGACAUCCUAGAAUAGGGGCACGUCUUUGGGGGUGGUUACGAUUCGACGCUCUACCUACCCCACCGUAAUAACACUGGACUCUCUCGCUACACGAGCUUUUUCCUUAAGCUUCCAACGCCACGGCUCUCUUGCUUGCCCUUUAGCCACGGCUUUCGAACUUCUCUGCGGCUCCGACUUCGAACUUCACAAAACAACAGGUGGAGAGCAGGGUUGCGAUAGGUCGGUGUGGUAACCUAAAAAAAAAAAUAAAAAAAAAAUAAAAGAAAAAGAGAAAGAAGAGCAGAGAAGAGAAGAGAAGAGGAAACAUACGAAUGAAGCAGCAGCAGCAGCAGCAACAGCAGGCAGCUAGCAGGAAAAUUUCCCUCAAAAUCACGAGCACUCUGACAAUCGUAGAUCUUCAACCGCGGUAAUAUUAUCCACACUUACCCUAUCGAAUAGAGUCCGAGAAGAAGAAUGGGGGAAGAAGGGGAGAAAAAAGCACGCGAUCGACGCCGGAGAAAGAAAGAGGAACAAAAAAAAAACAAGGAAAAAGAGAAAGAUCAAGCUCGUCUUCGCCGAGUGUUUUUAGAA
rnacentral:lncRNA from 1 species